CACAUUCUCAUAGGAGUAAUGAUCAAUUAUUUUGUCCUUAUUUUUUGGCAGAACUCUCUAAAUAAUUAGGUAGCUCUCUAAAUAUUAGGUACCACCCAUAUUCUAGCCUUUCUGCAUUAUUUUACGAUCAAUCCUUACACUUUUCUUUUGUUUGCAAUGUGUAGGAGGUAACAGCCAACUUAUCCCCAGGUACUCUGACAAAGCCAGUUUCUUUUUAAUUAUUUUUAAUUCGACUAUUCCUGUCCCCAGCCUUAAGUAGAAUAUAUGUAAGCGCAGGUAAUUAGUUUUGGGGAACUGCUACUAGCAUAAUUGUUAACACUUGGUACCAACUAAAAUUAGUUUUGGGUGUUUAUUAUGGUGCGCUCUUAGGUAAUGGCACUUGAAUGGAUUGGGUUGUCAGUAAGUAUUUAGAAGAGAAGUAGUUGCAUAGUCUCUACUUAUCAAAAACAACUAUCUACUUUUUCGAUGCACGGCACUGCUUCCUUUCAACAAAUCUUAGCUCCCUAAAAUUAAGGAUGCUGCGUAACAUCUCCUCGCAGAAAUCCUUCCUCUGAUAAUCGCCUGGGUCACAUAAUUUUCCAAUCUUCAUGGAUUUUUUCUCGUUUAACGCAUGACCUGCACUCCAUCUCACUUACACGACCAAAUGGUACCACAGAUGAAUGGGAUGCUGGAUGCUGUGUCCCGUGCUCUCUGCUCUUACCGGGUUUGAGCAUUGUCAUUUUGGGGUGUCGGACACGCCCAUUUAAAUACAGUUAUUUCAUUGGAUCGCGUGUGUCAUCCCGCGUGCAAUCCCUCUCACACGUACCAAGCUGCACAAGCUACGUACGGGAUUCGGGGGCAAGUCACCAGAUGAGAAAUUCAUGUAUGGAUGGCCGAUACAGCAAGAACAGCACAACGGUCCGCAUCGCUUGAGUAGCCAUCGAGUGUGGAUAUGUGUGCAUGUGUAUGGGUUGGUGCACGGAUUUUUUGGUACACGACUGGGCACAGCAUCCAGCGAGAAACCAGAUUUCCUCUCGGCCGCUUUGGGCAUCUUUUGGUUUUUUCGGAUUUGCUUUAGUAUAUUUCGGAUCUCGACGAGUGAGUGCGAGGCUUACGGCUAGGUGGUGCGUGGUCUAUGCUGGGAAAUCUUAAAAGAUCUUAAGGAGCGAGCGUGUGUGCCCUGAAAAGUGCGUUUCUUAGGUACUAUGUAUUUGUGCCGUUUGCUUUUCGCAAGGAUUCCGAGAUGUGGGAGUGAAUGAAAAGGAACGUGCUGUAAUCAUCCCCGUUUUGUCCUUUUUCCAUUUGCCUGAGUCUACAUAUACACACUACGCUCAGACCUAUUUUGUUGUUGUCCUCCGUUAGGAUUUCGAUUUUUGAUUUUGGUCCUUCGUUUCUUUGAAUCUGGGAUUUUGUUUAUGGACCUUGCGAGCGGUCAUGCUCGAGGGCAAAAUAGUCAAAUAAAAAAUCAGUUUCCGUUCGGCCGUGUCCUGAGAUAGUACUUAAUUGCAGUGCACACGUUGCGGACUUCUCGGACUGCGUGACGUAACAUUGUUGAUUGCAGAGAGUUAUUAUUGCUGAGAAAAUAACGUGUUUUUGCCUUAACAGAUCGUAGUAAGGAACAUACAAUUACACAAAAUUAGAACGAUAAAAUAAUGUGUAGUUCAAAAGUGCGCAUAUAGUGCAGUUGAUAUUUAAAGUCUAAACUAUUCGGCGGCUGGAACGUGUUGAGAGUGUGUAAUUAUGUGGAAACUUUAUUAGAUCAAGACGAUUUUAGACAUUAUCCUUUGGGAAAUAUUGACAUUAGUCGUGGAACCGAUUGAAUAAAAAAUAAAACAUUGAACAUUAUGAUGGAAAAAACUACUCCUGCAAAUUAUUUUGGACUACAGGCCCCCGAAAAAUCCUUAAAUGGAAGACCGGUAGAAAGUCAGUAUUCACGUUUUCAAGGAAGGAGAAGUAAUUGUAAUUUAGUUAGCGACUUGGUAUAUUAUCCGUUUCUGUAUAAAAUUCAUCCAUUCCCUCUGAGUUAUCACACAUUAGUGAAAUCCUAUUUAGCUUAAUAAAGGAUCAGUAAUUAGGUUGGGAUUCGAAAACUCAUUAAAAACUGUCUUUGUCAUUUUGGAGGUUGGCGGGAGAGGUAUGUUAGGCCUGCUUUAUCUGAAGUAGACUUUAGGAUGAUACUAAUGGACUUAUAGGUUUUAUAUGAACGGUAAAUUCAUUUAUGAAAAAGUCGUUCUUAUAUAUUCUAUUCACUAAAUAAUUCUGUGAUGGCGAUCCGGAAAACUUUAGGCUAAAAAGUGAAAACAUUUGAAAUUUUUUUUUGUGGGAAAAUUGAAGUAAGUUAAUUUUUUUAAAAGAUUCUAAUAUAAUAUCGCGUGUAGAUAAUCUAAAUUGUUAUUGAGCAGGGCAAUCCGUUUUAACUAGUAUGAUUGCUUGUUUUAAUGACUAUAGUAAAACGCUGUAGUGGCAUUCCCACUUUUCAAGACGGCGUAUUUGUGAAGAAGAAUUAUUCGAAUCUUUCAAGAACUUUAUUGGAAAAAUUAAUCUUUAAAAUCUUUAUUUAUCUUGUUGUUUUUGGAAUUAUUUCUUAGAUGUAAGGUAAAAAUAAUUUAUUUUAAUUGCUUGAGUCGAAAUGUCAAGAGUCGUUGCCUUGCCUUAAAAUGCAAUUUUUGAAAUGCAACCUAACCAAUUUAUUACUUAUGAUUUGUAGGAAAAAAAAUCUACUGUUUUUUUUUUUUUUAAUUUAAUGUUAAAUGUGUGUAUGAGUUAUUUUAAUGUAAUCGUCGAUUAUUAUCAAAUCGCAAUCAGUUGUCAAUUUUGAAUUCCUCGAGUUGAAGGACUUUCUUUUUGGUACUUUUUUAUUUAUUCGUCUAUUGGGCAGGCCUAGACCGGAUACCGGUUGUUGCGCCGUUGAUGAUGAUGAUGAUUGUUUAAAUACAUUUAAUGAUCAUUUAGAGAAAAAUAAGUACAUGACGAAAUAUGAUUUGUUUAUUAUGUUAAAAAUUCCUGCUUACCAUUAUUGUAAAAAGACAUAACAUUUUUUUGGAUCACUCGCAGGCAGUUCAGUAUUGAGUUGAUUCUUGGUGCAUAUUUGAUAUGCAGUUUUUUAGGUGCAAUAAUUAUAAUUCUUGAUGUGACGUUUUCUCUUUGUUUAAUUUUUUCAUCAUUUUCAGCAUUAGUGCCUGCCAUGGUGGUCACUAAUUGCUCGUGGCAUGAUGCAUAAAUGCAUAGAAGUAUAAAUAAUGCAUCAAAUAAAUUUUCAUCUACUUUCUAAGGAUCUAUUUGUAAUCAAACGAUUGACAAUUUCAAGUCCCACUCCGCUUCGACGGUUAACUAAUCAGUCUAGAGUCCCUUCGAUGAGCUAGAAUAUAUUAUUUUUUUUUUUUGCGAGGGAUCUUGACGCUUUUUGUUUUUAAUCUAUUCAUUCCAGUUUUAAAUCUGUAGAAACUAUUUGGCGCAGCAUCUUCACUAAGGAUACUGUGAAAAUGCAAUACUUAUUCUUUUACACAAAUCAAAUUGACAGUUAUCAAAUAUAAUAUUAUGUACAUUUGUAGUUAUCUACUUCAUCAGAUUUAGUUACUUCCUUUAACUUAUAAUUUCUAUAUCUUAUAAUUUAUUAGAGUUUGCACAUUGUGGAAGUAUUUUUUAGGGCAAUGAUGUUAAAACCCAUAGUUUUCCACUGUUGAAGACUUAAUAAUCUCCUCCAGGGAUGAAAUAAAUUCAAUGGGUACCUCACAUACAGUGUACGGCCAUCAAAUGUUCUGACCACAAGCGUGAUGAAAAAUAAAAAUUUCAAGGAUUUUUUCCGUGUUUAUUAUAGUUUUGAGGAAUAAAAUCACGCUUCAUCACUUUGUACUGAUGAAGGAAGUAAGUUGCUCCCGAAAUAUAUAUAUACAUAAUAAAAUAAAAUUGUAGUUUGGAGUAAGCUACUGGUCUAUCAAUUUUAGAAUUAACUACAAAUAGAAGACAAUAUCUAACCUCACACUUCAUCUGAUUCCACGAAUCAAGUCUCAUUAUUUUACAACCGGAAAAAUUUUAUUCACAAAGUAUGGAUCAAAGAACAGCUGAAGUUUUUGGUUUUCUAGUGAGUAGAAGUUCGCCAGUAGAAUCCAAGUUAUAUAGGAAAUACACGUGUGUAUAAAAAAAUUCUUUUAUUAUAAAAUUUUCUUUUUUAUUGAUAAGAAAGAACUAGGAAAAUAACAAUUUUUUAAUCGGGUUAUUAUUUUCUACAUUUAUAUUUGGUGGUCAGAGUUGAAAUUCGUUAAAGGGGUUAUGCUACUGUAGCUUCGCAAAAAAAGUAGCCUACGUAUUUUGGGUUUUAUUUUCAGCGGAGAAUAAAAUAUAUAAAAAUUC